CCUGCCCAGAAGCGGGGGAUAACACCUGGAAACAGAUGCUAAUACCGCAUAACAACUUGGACCGCAUGGUCCGAGCUUGAAAGAUGGCUUCGGCUAUCACUUUUGGAUGGUCCCGCGGCGUAUUAGCUAGAUGGUGGGGUAACGGCUCACCAUGGCAAUGAUACGUAGCCGACCUGAGAGGGUAAUCGGCCACAUUGGGACUGAGACACGGCCCAAACUCCUACGGGAGGCAGCAGUAGGGAAUCUUCCACAAUGGACGAAAGUCUGAUGGAGCAACGCCGCGUGAGUGAAGAAGGGUUUCGGCUCGUAAAACUCUGUUGUUAAAGAAGAACAUAUCUGAGAGUAACUGUUCAGGUAUUGACGGUAUUUAACCAGAAAGCCACGGCUAACUACGUGCCAGCAGCCGCGGUAAUACGUAGGUGGCAAGCGUUGUCCGGAUUUAUUGGGCGUAAAGCGAGCGCAGGCGGUUUUUUAAGUCUGAUGUGAAAGCCUUCGGCUCAACCGAAGAAGUGCAUCGGAAACUGGGAAACUUGAGUGCAGAAGAGGACAGUGGAACUCCAUGUGUAGCGGUGAAAUGCGUAGAUAUAUGGAAGAACACCAGUGGCGAAGGCGGCUGUCUGGUCUGUAACUGACGCUGAGGCUCGAAAGUAUGGGUAGCAAACAGGAUUAGAUACCCUGGUAGUCCAUACCGUAAACGAUGAAUGCUAAGUGUUGGAGGGUUUCCGCCCUUCAGUGCUGCAGCUAACGCAUUAAGCAUUCCGCCUGGGGAGUACGGCCGCAAGGCUGAAACUCAAAGGAAUUGACGGGGGCCCGCACAAGCGGUGGAGCAUGUGGUUUAAUUCGAAGCUACGCGAAGAACCUUACCAGGUCUUGACAUACUAUGCAAAUCUAAGAGAUUAGACGUUCCCUUCGGGGACAUGGAUACAGGUGGUGCAUGGUUGUCGUCAGCUCGUGUCGUGAGAUGUUGGGUUAAGUCCCGCAACGAGCGCAACCCUUAUUAUCAGUUGCCAGCAUUAAGUUGGGCACUCUGGUGAGACUGCCGGUGACAAACCGGAGGAAGGUGGGGAUGACGUCAAAUCAUCAUGCCCCUUAUGACCUGGGCUACACACGUGCUACAAUGGAUGGUACAACGAGUUGCGAACUCGCGAGAGUAAGCUAAUCUCUUAAAGCCAUUCUCAGUUCGGAUUGUAGGCUGCAACUCGCCUACAUGAAGUCGGAAUCGCUAGUAAUCGCGGAUCAGCAUGCCGCGGUGAAUACGUUCCCGGGC
rnacentral:rRNA from 1 species